rnacentral:rRNA from 1 species
UGGGGAAUUUUGGACAAUGGGGGCAACCCUGAUCCAGCCAUGCCGCGUGAAGGAUGAAGUAUUUCGGUAUGUAAACUUCGAAAGAAUAGGAAGAAUAAAUGACGGUACUAUUUAUAAGGUCCGGCUAACUACGUGCCAGCAGCCGCGGUAAUACGUAGGGACCAAGCGUUGUUCGGAUUUACUGGGCGUAAAGGGCGCGUAGGCGGCAUGACAAGUCACUUGUGAAAUCUCUGGGCUUAACCCAGAACGGCCAAGUGAUACUGUCGCGCUAGAGUGCAGAAGGGGCAAUCGGAAUUCUUGGUGUAGCGGUGAAAUGCGUAGAUAUCAAGAGGAACACCUGAGGUGAAGACGGGUUGCUGGGCUGACACUGACGCUGAGGCGCGAAAGCCAGGGGGAGCAAACGGGAUUAGAUACCCUCGUAGUCCCUGAGCGGGCUGGCAAGGCGCAU